CUUCUACUCUUUUCAUGCGUACUUGAAAUGCAUGGACAAGAACCAAAACCCCUAAACAGAAUAAGAAGACAAAGCUGUACACAAUGUUGUAGAUUAUUUGGAGAACGUUGCCCGAUUUGCCCUUGUUUGCCAUGGGGAAUACCAGGAUUUGUAAGAAAAUGAUCUUGCAGGAUCCUGAUAUUAAA